rnacentral:rRNA from 1 species
AGUGAACGUUGGCGGCGUGGAUUAGGCAUGCAAGUCGGGCGAGAACCGUAGCAAUACGGGGACAGCGGCGAAAGGGACAGUAAUGUGUAGGUACCUACCUCCGGGUUCGGGAUAGCUGCGGGAAACUGCAGGUAAUACCGAAUAACGCCUCCGGACCAAAGGUGUGAUUCCACCUGGAGAGGGGCCUGCAUCCUAUUAGCUUGUUGGCGGGGUAGCGGCCCACCAAGGCGACGAUGGGUAGCGGGUGUGAGAGCACGACCCGCGUCAUUGGGACUGAGACACUGCCCAGACACCUACGGGUGGCUGCAGUCGUGAAUCUUCGGCAAUGGGCGCAAGCCUGACCGAGCGACGCCGCGUGCGGGAUGAAGGCCUUCGGGUUGUAAACCGCUGUCGUAGAGGAGGAAAUGCAGGGGGGUUCUCCCCUCUGUUUGACCUAUUCUAGGAGGAAGUACGGGCUAAGUUCGUGCCAGCCGCCGCGGUAA